UGCGGGGGGGCAAGCGUUGUUCGGAAUUACUGGGUCGGUAAAGGGCUCGUAGGUCGGCCAACUAAGUCGGACGAUGAAAUCCCCAGGGCUCAACCCUGGGAACUGCGAUCCGAUACUGGAUGGCUUGAAGUCCGGGAGAAGGGAUGCAGAAUUCCAGGUGUGAGCGGUGGAAAUGACGUAGAUAUCUGGAGGAACACCGGUGGACGAAGGCGGCAUCCUGGACCAGCACUGACGCUGA
rnacentral:rRNA from 1 species